UAUGGGGAUUUAGUACGCCAACGGCGGUGAUGGAUUGCAGUUUGAAUGGACGGUUGGGAAGGAGUUCCAAAGUUUCAAAUUUGAGGCAUUUAAUGCCUGAAAAACCUGAGGGUGCGUGCUCUCUAUCCCGUACUCUUUAUGGCUACAAGCUCUCUCCUCGAAAUACUCUGUUUCCCCUCUUCCCACGAAAUACCUCAUCUCUCCCCUUCCCAUGGAGCAGCAGUGCCUCGGUGUUGCACCGGAUCCAUCUCUCUCAAUCUCACUCAGCUGCAUCAUAUCCAGAGAACCAUUGUGCUUCAACAUCAGGUGGGAAGAUGGCACUUUCAUCUACAAGACUGCACAAUAUUAGAGCCAACAACAUCUAACUUCGAGUCUGAUUAAGUUAUUAGAGAAUCAACAAUAUUUGACCGCCCAUGGGAAUUCUGAAAAGCGUGUAAUCAUAGUCAUAUUAGCUCUGAGUUUAGUGAUUCAUGUUGCAUUUUUCUUUCUCCUUAUAGAAAAGGAGUAAGGUGGUGUACUUCUCAAUCUUACAUGUUGUAUAUUUUUUUCUCCUCAUAAAAAAGGAGUAAGCAUAUAAGGUGUACUCCUCAAUCUUAAUAUACUUCUAUCUGGAUCAAAGGAAAUUUUGUUA